CCUACGGGAGGCAGCAGUGAGGAAUAUUGGUCAAUGGCCGGAAGGCUGAACCAGCCAUGCCGCGUGAAGGUCAGUGCCCUAUGGGCGUUAAACUUCUUUUGUGCGGGAGCAAUAAUGGUCACGUGUGGCCAGACGAGAGUACCGUACGAAUAAGCAUCGGCUACCUCCGUGCCAGCAGCCGCGGUAAUACGGGGGAUGCAAGCGUUAUCCGGAUUUAUUGGGUUUAAAGGGUGCGUAGGCUGUGAGGUAAGUCAGCGGUGAAAUGCCCCCGCUCAACGGGGUGAAGUGCCAUUGAUACUGCCUGGCUGGAAUGCUGAUGCCGUAGGAGGAAUGUGUGGUGUAGCGGUGAAAUGCAUAGAUAUCACACAGAACACCGAUUGCGAAGGCAUCUCACGAAUCCGCGAUUGACGCUGAUGCACGAAAGCGUGGGUAUCAAACAGGAGUAGAUACCCUUGUAGUC
rnacentral:rRNA from 1 species